rnacentral:rRNA from 1 species
ACCACAAGGGGUGAAGGCUGCGGUUCAAUUGGAGUCAACCCCAAGAAUCUUACCGGGAGAGNCAGCAGAAUAAGUCCAAAGCUUAAAGCUUUACCAGACAAGCUGAGAGGUGGUGCAUGCCGUCGCCAAGCUCGUGCCGUGAGAUGUCCUGUUAAGUCAGGUAACGAGCGAGAUCCCUGCCUCUAGUUGCCACCAUUACUCUCAGGAGUAGUGGGGCGAAUUAGCGGGACCGCCGUAGUUAAUACGGAGGAAGGAAGGGGCCACGGCAGGUCAGUAUGCCCCGAAACUCUGGGGCCACACGCGGGCUGCAAUGGUAACGACAAUGUGUUCCGAAUCCGAAAGGAGGAGGUAAUCCAGAAACGUUACCACAGUUAUGACUGAGGGCUGCAACUCGCCCUCACGAAUAUGGAAUCCCUAGUAACUGCGUGUCAUUAUCGCGCGGUGAAUACGUCCCUGCUCCUUGCACACACCGCCCGUCGUUUCAUUGAAGUUUGCUUUUAGCGAGGUGACGUCUGAUUGGCGUUAUCGAACUGA